CAGCCGCUCCCGCAUUAAAAUUUCAUGGGCGCUGCAGCAGCCACAAAGACGACGCCGGCUGCGCUGGGGGACAGGGGGAGGGAGGCUGCGGACGAGCGCGGGGAGGAGUUUGCGAGGGGAGGCGCUUGCAGGGGCUCCCCCAGUUCUGCGCUGCGAGCCGGGGCACAAAGAGCCCUCUGCACUCGCGCCGCAGGGCCGCGGACCGAGGGCAGUAUUACAGAGUUUAUUCAUCAAGGCGGUGAGGGUGGCGGACAGCGAAGCAGUUGACAUGCUCCCUCCACCCAUGUCGGCCUCAGCGGGAAGGCGUUUCUCUUCUCUGAGCCUCGAUCUCCUUAUCUUUCCGCCGGAGGCACCUGUCCACCCACGUGGCUCCAGACACGUUAAUGUGGCUGCCGUGACCCCAUUGGUAUCAAAGGAGUAACCAAGGUGAUCUUUCUCUUCCUCCUCCUCCUCCUCCUCCUGGGCACCCAGCUUCACCCUUUGAGGUCAGAUCCAUCGUGAAAUCCUAUGUCCUGAGACCUCCUGACUCUCAGAGGUUUUCCUUUUCUGGACAUUUUGUAUAGAUGGGAUCAUGCCAUAUGUGUUCUGAUGUGUUUGAGGCUUGUCCACGCUGCAAGCGCAGCAAGUUCCUGGGACAAAGGAGAGAGAAGGGAGGACAUUCCCAGCCACGCAUUGGAAGCCGCCUUGCAGAUAAGUUUUGAAACUCACCACCCACAGCCCACCAGCCUGCCCUCUCCUGGUCUGUGCAGGAAAGAGUGUAGUAUUCUAGAAUGCUAGAGCAGGGCCGGGCACAGUGGCUCACGCCUGUAAUCCUACCACUCUGGGAGGCUGAGGAGGGAGGAUCGCUUGAGCUCA